GUUAAUGUAGCUUAAAUUAAAGCAUGCCACUGAAGCUGACAAGAUAGGCCCUAGAAAGCCUCAAUAACA
rnacentral:tRNA from 1 species